UCGGCUGAGGACACCAAGUGCUCCAAGAGGUGGCUCCAUAAUUUGGAAGAGGAGCAAUGGUUAAUUUAUGGUUAAUUCUUCACUUCAAGAAGCUCGGCUGAGGACACCAAGUUCCAAGAGGUGGCUCCAUGAUUUGGAAGAGGAGCAAUGGUUAAUUCAUGGUUAAUUCUUCACUUCAAGAAGCUCGGCUGAGGACCAAGUGCUCCAAGAGGUGGCUCCAUGAUUUGGAAGAGGAGCAAUGGUUAAUUCAUGGUUAAUUCUUCACUUCAAGAAGCUCGGCUGAGGACACCAAGUGCUCCAAGAGGUGGCUCCAUGAUUUGGAAGAGGAGCAAGCCCAGCUCUGGUGGACGUGCAGAGACAUUGGGACGUGCUUCUCCCAUGCGAGACAGGACCUGAGGGUGGGACAAACCACGAGCACCUGGAAAGGUGACCCCUUCCAGCACCAAAAUCAGGAUGGAGCUGAACCUGGAGGAGAUAGAGCUGGGGCAUCACACCUCGCUCCCAAACACGGGCACAGCUGGAACCACGGCCGGGCAGCCCCAAGCAGCAAACCAGCUGCUUUGGGCUUUCUGGACCCGUUGAGGACUUAUUCCUUUAUGGUGAAACAGUUGGGAACCGAAAAAGAAGAACCUCCUCUUGUCCAGAGGGAUGAUGAGCUGCUGGUUUCAUCUCCGGCACUGAUUUACUCUGUGACCUUGGUCAUCUCCCUUGUCUCCUCCAUAGAAGAUGUCCUGAGAUGCUCAUGGAGAUGCCACCAUUCCCAGCCCCACGGAAAGCCAAGGAUCGGUGUUUUUCAAGACAGUAGUCACAGAAUCAUUCAGGUUGGAAGAGACCCUUGGGAUCAUCGAGUCCAACCAUCUCCCCUACUCUACAUAGUCCUCCCCUACACCAUAUCCCUCAGUACCCCAUCUAA